rnacentral:rRNA from 1 species
AUUGAACGCUGGCGGCAGGCCUAACACAUGCAAGUCGAGCGAGCGGCGGACGGGUGAGUAAUGUCUGGGAACCUGCCUGAUGGAGGGGGAUAACGAAUGGAAACGGUAGCUACUACCGCAUACCAUCAGAUGUGCCAAGGUGGGAUUAGCUAGUAGGUGGGGUAACGGCUCACAUAGGCGACGGUCCCUAGCUGGUCUGAGAGGCGGAGCAGGCACACUGGAACGUAGACACGGUCCAGAUGCCGACGGGAGGAAGCAGUGGGGAAUAUUGAACAAUGGGCGCAAGCCUGAUGCAGCGAUGCCGCGUGUGUUAAGAAGGCCUUCGGGUUGUAAAGCACUUUCAGCGGGGAGGCGUUACCAGCAGAAGAAGCACCGGCUAACUCCGUGCCAGCAGCCGCGGUAAUUC